rnacentral:rRNA from 1 species
CCCUCGGGAAACUGAGGUUAAUAUCUGAUAGGAGAUUUAUACUGGAAAGAUUAAUCUUUAAAAUUCGAGCCUAAGGAUGGGGCUGCGGUGGAUUAGGUUGUUGGCGGGGUAAUAGCCCACCAAGCCUUUGAUCCAUAGGGGCUCUUAGCGGAGAAGCCCCGAGAGGGAAUCUGAGACACUAUUCCCAGCCCUACGGGGUGCAGCAGUUAGGAAUAUUCUGCAAUGCGCGUAAGCGUGACAGAUUGAGUCAGAGUGCGCUUCAAUUUGGAGUGCUUUUGCUAAAUGUAAAAAGUUUGGCGAAUAAGGACUGGGUAAGACGAGUGCCAGCCGCCGCGGUAAUACUCGCGGUCCAAGUCGCAGCCAUUUUUAUUGGGUCUAAAACAUCCGUAGCUUGCUUGGUGAGUUCCUUGUGAAAUUCUAUAUCUCAAAUAUGGAGCGUGCAGGGGGUACUGCCAAGCUAGAGACUGGAAGACGUAACGAGUACGUUUGGAGUAGCGGUAAAAUGUGUUAAUCCCGGACGGACUAACAAUAGCGAAGGCACGUUACGAGGACAGUUCUGACAGUAAGGGAUGAAGGCUAGGGGCGCAAAACGGAUUAGAUACCCGUGUAGUCCUAGCAGUAAACACUGCACACUAAACAUUAGCACCUCCUCGAGAGGUAUUGGUGCUGAAGGGAAGCCGAAGAGUGUGCUACCUGGGAAGUAUAGUCGCAAGGCCGAAACUUAAAGGAAU